rnacentral:rRNA from 1 species
GACGGAGGGUGCAAGCGUUGUUCGGAUUGACUGGGCGUAAAGGGCGUGUAGGCGGUCGGCCAAGUCUGAUGUGAAAGCCCGAGGCUCAGCCUCGGAAGUGCGUCGGAAACUAGUCGGCUGGAGCGCGAUAGAGGAGGGUGGAAUUCCUGGUGUAGCGGUGAAAUGCGUAGAUAUCAGGAGGAACACCGGCGGCGAAGGCGGCCCUCUGGAUCGUUGCUGACGCUGAUACGCGAAAGCGUGGGGGAGCAAACAGG